CCGACCGUCCGGGUCGGCCUGCGCUUUCCCAGCCUUUUGUCCUUCUCGGGUUGCCGAUUCUAAUCGCCCCCUGGGCCCCCUGGGCCGCGGACUGCGGGCUACCUGACCUCUCAAGGGCACCGUUUUCGAUUGUACUGCUGACGUCUUGAUGUUGCCGGAAAUUAACACCCUGUGAACACCCAGGUUUCCCCGGGCCCUGCUGAGAGGGGCGGAACUUGGCUCCGAGAGAGGCGACUCCCCGUUUCCUGAGGGUCUACAGGCCUGCUCAUGCCUCAUGCGGGGGCGCACUAGACUCGCGGGAUGGUCAGUACACGGGCUACGGCACCGAAAAAGCGUGCUUCCACAGCUCGCCUAGGAAGGCGGGGCCGACACUGCAGCCACAGGGGGCGCAUUUCGUCAGCUGCCCUAACCCGGGGUAGCGCCCUCAGGCCCUGUCAGGUGGCCAAGGCAGCCGCAGCCCGGGAUGACGCCACCACGUCAGACUAGCCGUGUGACGUUUCCAGCGCGCCCAAAUCCAGAGAAUCGAGCUGUUCCUUUCAGGAAUCUUC
rnacentral:lncRNA from 1 species